UUCCUACGGGACGCAGCAGUGAGGAAUAUUGGUCAAUGGGCGCGAGCCUGAACCAGCCAAGUCGCGUGAGGGAAGACGGUCCUAUGGAUUGUAAACCUCUUUUGUCGGGGAGCAAAAGACGCCACGCGUGGCGUUCCGAGAGUACCCGAAGAAAAAGCAUCGGCUAACUCCGUGCCAGCAGCCGCGGUAAUACGGAGGAUGCGAGCGUUAUCCGGAUUUAUUGGGUUUAAAGGGUGCGUGGGUGGUUAAUUAAGUCAGCGGUGAAAGUUUGUGGCUCAACCAUAAAAUUGCCGUUGAAACUGGUU
rnacentral:rRNA from 1 species